rnacentral:lncRNA from 1 species
UGUCAUGUCCUGUGUUUACUCUGGGUGAUAGACAGUACAGCCUGUCAUGUCCUGUGUUUACUCUGGGUGAUAGACAGUACAGCCUGUCAGGUCCUGUGUUUACUCUGGGUGAUAAGACAGUACAGCCUGGCAGGUCCUGUGUUUACUCUGGGUGAUAGACAGUACCGCCUCUCAGGUCCUGUGUUUACUCUGGGUGAUAAGACGGUACAUCCUGUCAGGUCCUGUGUUUACUCUGGGUGAUAAGACAGUACAGCCUGUCAGGUCCUGUGUUUACUCUGGGUGAUAGACAGUACAUCGUGUCAGGUCCUGUGUUUACUCUGGGUGAUGUAGUAGACAGUACAGCCUGUCAGGCCCUGUGUUUACUCUGGGUGAUGUAGUAGACAGUACAGCCUGGCAGGUCCUGUGUUUACUCUGGGUGAUAAGACAGUACAGCCUGUCAUGUCCUGUGUUUACUCUGGGUGAUGUAGUAGACAGUACAGCCUGUCAUGUCCUGUGUUUACUCUGGGUUAUGUAGUAGACAGUACAGCCUGGCAGGUCAUGUGUUUACUCUGGGUGAUAGACAGUACAGCCUGUCAGGUCCUGUGUUUACUCUGGGUGAUGUAGUAGACAGUACAGCCUGGCAGGUCCUGUGUUUACUCUGGGUGAUAGACAGUACAGCCUGUCAGGCCCUGUAUUUACUCUGGGUGAUGUAGUAGACAGUACAGCCUGUCAGGUCCUCACUCUGG